AUGAAUGGACCGAGGAAAAAAGGAGCUUCUUUUGAAUGGAUUCCUCGUUUUCUACCUCAAAGUAGAAAUCUCCAAAAUGUUGGCUUGACAACGAUAUGUUGGGCGAUUUGGAAGCUCAGAAAUAGAUCUUGUUUUGAAUUUAAAUUAUUAAGAUCACCCGCUGAAUUUAUCUGCUAUGUUGUUUCUUUCAUGAACUAUUCGGGAGCUCUGCAAAAUGAUGAAGACCGAGCAAUGUUGACGUUGGAAAUAUCCCUAGACACAAUAAUAAAGUGGUUAUUAUUAUGUUUCCUUAUUCAUGAUAAUCGUUUAUUAUCCAUGUUAUAA
rnacentral:rRNA from 1 species